UCCGAAUUGGUGUAGUGGCUAACAUUUGACGCUCUCAACUAUAUUGUAUGAUGUAGAACAGUUCCGUCAAGCCCGGGGUUCGAUUCCCCGAUUCGGAG